UUCAACAGCCCGAGCAAAAUUAGCUUGAAAUGAAAUAGUGAACAAGUACCGCGAGGGAAAGAUGAAAAUGACUUUGAAAAGAGAGUUAAAGAGUUCUUGAAAUUGUCUGGAGGGAAGUGGAUGGGGGCCGACGAUGCGACCUAGUCUGAUGUGGAACGGUGAUGAGCCAGUCCCCCGAUCGACUCGGGGCGUGGACCAGCGUGGAUUUGGGAGGGGGCGGCCAAAGCUCGGGCCCUUGAUACUCCCGUGGAACGUCGUCUCCUUAAUUAUGGUAGGCAGCGCAUGCCUCUGGCAUUUUUCGACAUCUGCGCACUCCAGACACUAGCAUGUGGGCUCCCCAUUUGACUUGUCUUGAAACAUGGACCAAGGAGUAUGACAUGUGUGCGACUCAACGAUGUGUAAACCCAUAAGGCAUAAGGAAGCUGAUUUGUUGGAUCCCCCUAGGGGUGCACCGCCGACCGACCUUGAUCUUCUGAGAAGGGUUCGAGUGAGACCAUACCUGUCGGGACCCAAAAUAUGGUGAACUAUAAAUGAGCGGGGUGAAGCCAAAGGAAACUCUGGUGGAGGCCCACAACGAUACUGAUGUGAAAAUCAUUUGUCUGACUUGGGUAUAAGGGUAAAAGACUAAUCAAAGUGUCUAGUAGCUGGUUCCCUUCAAAGUUUCCUUAGGAUAGAUGGAGCUCGCGUGUGAGUUCUAUCGGGUAAAGACAAUGAUUAGAGGCCUCGGGGGCGCAACACGCUCGACCUAUUCUCAAACUUUAAAUAGGUAGGACAACAUGACUGCUUUGUUGAGCCGCGCCACAUAAUCAAGAGCUCUAAGUGGGCCAUUUUUGGUAAGCAGAACUGGCGAUGUGGGAUGGAUCGGAAGCCGGGACGGUGCCAAACUGUGCGCUAACCUAGAUCUCACAACAGGUGUUGGUCGAUUAAGACAGCAGAACGGUGGUCAUGGAAGUCGAAAUCUGCUAAGGAGUGUGUAACAACUCACCUGCUGAAUCAACUAGCCCCGAAAAUGGAUGGCGCUUAAGCGCGCAACCUACACCCGACCGUUGGGGCAAGUUCCAGGCCCCGAUGAGUAGGAGGGCGCGCGGUCAUUGCAAAACCUUUAGUGUGAGCCUAGGCGGAGCGGCUGUCGGUGCAGAUCUUGGUGGUAGUAAUAAAUAUUCAAAUGAGAACUUUGAAGGCCGAAGAGGAGAACAGUUCCAAGUGAACAACACUUGCACAUGGGUUAGUCGAUCCUUAGGGUCGGGGGAACCCUGAUAGAUUGUGCGUUUUGCACGUACUCAGAAAAUGAAUCAGGUUAAAAUUCUUGAAUCGGGACGUGGCGGUUGACGACAACAUUAGGAAGUCCGAAGACAUUAGCGGGAGCCUCGGGAAGAGUUAUCUUUUCUAUUUAAUAGCCUGCCCACCCUGGAAUCGGCUCAGCUGGAGGUAGGGUCCAACGGUUGGAAGAGCACCGCACGUCGCGUGGUGUUCGGUGUGCUCCCGGUGGCUCUUGAAAAUUUGGAUGACCAAAUGCUUUCCACACCCGAUCAUACUCAUAACCGCAUCAGGUCUCCAAGGUGAACAACCUCUAGUCGAUGGAAUAAUGUAGGCAAGGGAAGUCGGCGAAAUAGAUCCGUAACUUUGGGAAAAUGAUUGGCUUUGAGGGCUGGGCACGGGGUCCCAGUCCGGAACUCGUCGGUUGUCGGUGGACUGCUCGAGCUGCUCCUGCGGCGAGAGCGGGUCGCCGCGUGACGGACGGGGGAUGGACUGGGAACUAUUCCUUCAGGGGACUUCCCCGUGCAUCGAACAGCCAUCUCAGAACUAAUGUGGACAAGGGGAAUUCGACUGUUUAAUUAAAACAAAGCAUUGCAAUGGUCCCAAUGGAUGUUUACGCAAUGUGAUUUCUACCUAGUGCUCUCAAUGUCAAAGUGAAGAAAUUCAACCAAGCGCAGCUAAAUGGCGGGAGUAACUAUGACUCUCUUAAGGUAGCCAAAUGCUUCGUAAUCUAAUUAGUGACGUGCAUGAAUGGAUUAACGAGAUUCCCACUGUCUACUAUCCAGUGAAACCACAGCCAAGGGAACGGGAUUGGCAGAAUCAGUGGGGAAAGAAGACCCUAUUGAGCUUGACUCUAGUCCAACUUUGUGAAAUGACUUGAGAGAGGUGUAGUAUAAGUGGUAGCCGAAAGGUGAAAGUGAAAUACCACUACUUUUAAUGUUAUUUUACUUAUUUCGUGAAUCGAAAGUGGGGCACUGCUCCUCUUUUUGGACCCAAGGCUCACUUCGUUGACUAAUCGAGGCGGAAACAUUGUCAGGUGGGGAGUUUGGCUGGGGCGAAACAUUUUAACAAUGCAGGUGUCCUAAGAUGAGCUCAACGAGAACAAAAAUCUAGUAUGGAACAAAAGGGUAAAAGCUCGUUUGAUUCUAAUUUCUAAUUUCCAGUACAAAUACGAACUGUGAAAGUGUGGCCUAACGAUCCUUUAGACUUUUGGAAUUUGAAGCUAGAGGUGUUAGAAAAGUUACCACAGGGAUAACUGUCUUGUGGCAGCCAAGCGUUCAUAGGGACAUUGCUUUUUGAUCCUUCGAUGUCGGCUCUUCCUAUUAUUGUGAAGCAGAAUUCACCAAGUGUUGGAUUGUUCACCCACCAAUAGGAACGACAGCUAGGUUUAGACCGUUAUGAGAUAGGUUAGUUUUAACCUACUGAGAAAUAGGGUCGCAAUAGUAAUUCAACCUAGUACGAGAGGAAUCAUUGAUUCACACAAUUGGUCAUCGCGCUUGGUUGAAAAGCCAGUGGAGCAAAGCUACCGUGUGUUGGAUUAUGACUGAACGCCUCUAAGUCAGAAUCUGGGCUAAAAGCGAUGCAUGUCCCCACCGUUCACUUGCCGACCCACAGUAGGGGCCCCUAAAGGAACAUGUCGUUGGUUAAGUCACCGUGACGGAAGUGUCGCAAUGACCACCUUGAAGUACAAUUUCCAUCGAGCGGCGGGUAGAAU
rnacentral:rRNA from 1 species